CGACAAAUAUCGCAUUUUUAUUGCGAAAAUUACGGUCGUGAGUGAUAAGUGCUAGUGUAAAAGAUAUUUUUACUCCUACUGCAUCUUAGUGAAUAAGGGCAGGUAGGUGACAAGUGAAGAAAAGUGUAAAAAAAGUGAAAGUUUGCCUCCUCAAAUAGUGAAUUGUUCUCAGGAGGUAAACAAAAAAGUCGACAGCAAUCGGUAUGCUAAAGUGCGUGCCGCUGCAAACAAAUUUGAUGUACGCUGCGUGAAUAUAAAAACCAGUGUUGCUAAAUUCACCGUAAAAGAACUAAUUAACAUGAUAUUCAAAGUAUCUAAUUUUUUGGGAGUCAUCAGACCUAACAAGUUACACAUAAUUCUUUCCACCACAUCGCUAGAGAACCUCCGAAAGCUUUGCAAUAUUUUGGUUGUGGACCAGAUUCACCACGGACACUGUUGCAAUUUUGUAGCAGGCGGAUAUAAUAUUUCUAUGUGUAAAGCCUCACAUUCUUCUGGUGUGUCGCCGCUCGAUAGAGUCUAGCGGGACUAAGUCGGGAAAAAGUAGUGGUCUCCAUCUCCAUAUUAGCCGAAGUGACCCUAGAAAGGCUGAAAAGAGAAGUCUCUUGUUUAAAUAUUUCCAUCGUUCGCUGGAUGCCUAACACACCGAUGCUGGUUACCCAAGAAUACACGAUUUACUGCGCCAAGAUUUACACGAAUUGUGACAAGAUUGUUCGCGAGCGCUAUAAGGAUAUACAAUUUAUGCUUAAUCAAUUGUGCCUAGCGUUCGAAAUGAAGAAAGAGCAGAACGGGUGCUACAAAAACGGUAUUAGAAACCGUUAGUCAUCUAUCACUGGCUAAAGUUCACAGCAGUUUGAUUAGAUGGAUGGCUGACGCAACAGAUUGCUAUUUCCUUGCAGAUUGCCCGUUGUUAUAGGGAUGAAGCAACUCGAUCGGAUCAUUAGCCGGAACUUACGCCACUUGAUCGCCAACUAUCGUUAACCGAUCGCGCCAAUACAAUGCAGUUAGUAGAGGAUGUGCUUGCGAAUUCUUGGACCGAAGACGAUGCCAUUACAGUAAGUGCCAUUACAACGAAUCGCCUAUACGAUCAAGCAAUGGGUAGAUUCGGAAGCGAUACAUCAAAAGUCGCUUCGGUUACGAGCUGCAAGAUGUCACGACGAAAAUGAACCAAUCAGAUGCUUAUACUGGAACCCUUCCGUUCAUGAGGUUUAUGCCAUCGAAGAUAAAAAAAAACAGUGCAUUUCCGACAGUGUUUAAGAAAAGUUUGGGAGUUCUUUCCAAAGCAGAACCGCUCCUUCAGGAUGGUAAGUUGUAAAAUUUCAUUUGAAUUCUUUUUAGGUUUAUGAUGCUCUGGGACUGUCCGGCAGACUGUUCUCGGCGCUGUUUGGUAUUUUGACGAUACUGAUAGUUCUUACUACUACCGAGUGCCUGUCGCAAACCGUUUGCUGUCAACAGUUAGCAAUCUGUACUAUAGCGAUGGUCUUCCUAACUCUGUUUAAUUUUGAAACGCUACACACGAUAGAAACGGACAAACUAUACAAAUCUAACAUGGAGUUAAUCUUCAUCUAUCAGCUUCAGCUGGCAGUCCUACUAUGCUUUGUCGCCAGCCGAAGCUUUGGAAUCAACUGGACAACAAUAAUUUGAACUCAUUUGGCGAUUUGUCGGCUAGGAAGGCAAUGCCUGAUGUAAACACAAUAUGUGACGGAUAACUGCAUGAUGCAAUAUCUCAACUUCAUUAAUGUCAAGUCGCAGCCGGCGAUACUUUCGGUAAGCAAUAAGCACCUACCCUCUCCGGCCUUAAUAACAAAAAAAUUGAAAAAAAA